UACAGAGGAGCCAAGCGUUGUCCGGAUUGACUGGGCGUAAAGCGCACGCAGGCGGACGCGCGCGUGGGGUGUGAAAUCUGGCCGCUUAACGGCCAGGCGCCAUCCCAUACGGCGCGUCUGGAGUGAUGCAGAGGUCGAUGGAAUUGCCGGUGUAGUGGUGAAAUGCGUAGAGAUCGGCAGGAACACCCAGGGGGAAACCAGUCGACUGGGCAUCUACUGACGCUGAGGUGCGAAGAGCGG
rnacentral:rRNA from 1 species